CAACCCUCAGCUAACCGCUGGUUAUGAACCUGAACGGGUAACUCCGAGCCGGUUUUAAAGUUGUAAGCUCUGCUGGCCGCUCCGCCCAACCAGAACAUAGUAAAAACACUACUUGUUAGGGUGAAGCUGAACGGUACGGCCUGAACAAAACCUACCCACUUCUAAG
rnacentral:misc_RNA from 1 species